CCUACGGGAGGCUGCAGUGGGGAAUAUUGGACAAUGGGCGAAAGCCUGAUCCAGCCAUGCCGCGUGUGUGAAGAAGGCCUUCGGGUUGUAAAGCACUUUCAGUGGGGAAGAAAGCCUUGGGGCUAAUACCCUCGAGGAAGGACAUCACCCACAGAAGAAGCACCGGCUAACUCCGUGCCAGCAGCCGCGGUAAUACGGAGGGUGCGAGCGUUAAUCGGAAUUACUGGGCGUAAAGCGCGCGUAGGCGGUCUGAUAAGCCGGUUGUGAAAGCCCCGGGCUCAACCUGGGAACGGCAUCCGGAACUGUCAGGCUAGAGUGCAGGAGAGGAAGGUAGAAUUCCCGGUGGAGCGGUGAAAUGCGUAGAGAUCGGGAGGAAUACCAGUGGCGAAGGCGGCCUUCUGGACUGACACUGACGCUGAGGUGCGAAAGCGUGGGUAGCAAACAGGAUUAGAUACCCUGGUAGUC
rnacentral:rRNA from 1 species